AGAGAGAGACAUGCGCGCAUAUCAAUAAGCGGAGGAAAAGAAACUAACUAGGAUUCCCUCAGUAACGGCGAGUGAAGCGGGAAGAGCUCAAAUUUGAAAUCUUCAAGGUUCUACCUUGACGAAUUGUAGUUUAAAGAAGUGUUUUCUGUUGGAGUUUUGGUAAAAGUUCUUUGGAAUAGGACAUCAUAGAGGGUGAGAAUCCCGUAUUUGACCAUUUACUUUCAGCUUUGUGAUACACUUUCAAAGAGUCGGAUUGUUUGGGAAUGCAGUCCAAAAUGGGUGGUAAAUUUCAUCUAAAGCUAAAUAUUGGCGAGAGACCGAUAGCGAACAAGUACCGUGAGGGAAAGAUGAAAAGAACUUUGAAAAGAGAGUUAAACAGUACGUGAAAUUGUCAAAAGGGAAGCGUUUGACACCAGUGUUGUUUUCUCGAAAAUCAAUUAAAAAAGGCAGGAUUUUGUGUUGUAUUGACUUUAUCAGCUUUCUGCACUCUUUUCUUGUCUUUUUUAAUGCACUUUUCGUUUAACAAGUCAACAUCAAUUUCUUUUGUUGUAAAAGGGUCAUUGGAAGGUGGCUUUCUUUUCGGAGAAAGUGUUUAUAGCCUUUGGACCUCCUGCAAUCGGAGAGACUGAGGUCUGCAGCGUAGAUCCUUCGGGGUUAGAUACAUUUGUGCUAAGUUAUAGCCUUUUAUAGACAACUUGUUGACUAUGAUUAGUCAUUGUAGCUUACUCGCUUAUGCUAUUUUACCUACGCUUAGGAUGUUGAUGUGAUACUGCGAGCA
rnacentral:rRNA from 1 species